UACGUAGGUGACAAGCGUUAUCCGGAAUUACUGGGCGUAAAGCGCACGCAGGCGGCUGAGAAAGUCUGACGUGAAAUCUCCGGCUUAACCGGGAGCGGUCGUUGGAAACUACUUGGCUUGAGGCGAUGAGAGGGGUGUGGAAUUCCCGGUGUAGUGGUGGAAUGCGUAGAUAUCGGGAGGAACACCAGAGGCGAAAGCGGCGCACUGGACAGUAACUGACACUCAAUUGCGAAAGCGUGGGGAGCAAACAGGAUUAGAUACCCCGUAGU
rnacentral:rRNA from 1 species